UCCUGACUGGCUUAUUUAAAAGGUGUGUGACUCCUGAUCUCAUGGUUGUGGGUUUGAGCCCCACGUUGGGUG
rnacentral:tRNA from 1 species